AGAGUUUGAUCCUGGCUCAGGAUGAACGCUAGCGGCAGGCUUAACACAUGCAAGUCGAGGGGUAACGGGGAAGCUUGCUUCCGCCGACGACCGGCGCACGGGUGCGUAACGCGUAUACAAUCUACCUUGUACUGGGGUAUAGCCUUUAGAAAUGAAGAUUAACCCCCCAUAGUCUCUUAGAGUGGCAUCACUUCUAGAGUAAAGGUUACGGUAUAAGAUGAGUAUGCGUUCUAUUAGUUUGUUGGUGUGGUAACGGCACACCAAGACUACGAUAGAUAGGGGCCCUGAGAGGGGGAUCCCCCACACUGGUACUGAGACACGGACCAGACUCCUACGGGAGGCAGCAGUGAGGAAUAUUGGACAAUGGAGGCAACUCUGAUCCAGCCAUGCCGCGUGCAGGAAGACUGCCCUAUGGGUUGUAAACUGCUUUUAUACAGGAAGAAACACCUCUACGUGUAGAGGCUUGACGGUACUGUAAGAAUAAGGAUCGGCUAACUCCGUGCCAGCAGCCGCGGUAAUACGGAGGAUCCAAGCGUUAUCCGGAAUCAUUGGGUUUAAAGGGUCCGUAGGUGGAUAAUUAAGUCAGAGGUGAAAUCUUGCAGCUCAACUGUAAAAUUGCCUUUGAAACUGGUUAUCUUGAGUUAUUAUGAAGUAGUUAGAAUAUGUAGUGUAGCGGUGAAAUGCAUAGAUAUUACAUAGAAUACCAAUUGCGAAGGCAGAUUACUAAUAAUCAACUGACACUGAUGGACGAAAGCGUGGGUAGCGAACAGGAUUAGAUACCCUGGUAGUCCACGCCGUAAACGAUGGUUACUAGCUGUUUGGACUUCGGUCUGAGUGGCUAAGCGAAAGUGAUAAGUAACCCACCUGGGGAGUACGUUCGCAAGAAUGAAACUCAAAGGAAUUGACGGGGGCCCGCACAAGCGGUGGAGCAUGUGGUUUAAUUCGAUGAUACGCGAGGAACCUUACCAGGGCUUAAAUGUAAGUUGCAUUAGUUAGAGAUAGCUAUUUCUUCGGACCACUUACAAGGUGCUGCAUGGUUGUCGUCAGCUCGUGCCGUGAGGUGUCAGGUUAAGUCCUAUAACGAGCGCAACCCCUGUUGUUAGUUGCCAGCGAGUCAUGUCGGGAACUCUAGCAAGACUGCCAGUGCAAACUGUGAGGAAGGUGGGGAUGACGUCAAAUCAUCACGGCCCUUACGUCCUGGGCUACACACGUGCUACAAUGGUAGGUACAGAGAGCAGCCACUGCGCGAGCAGGAGCGAAUCUACAAAACCUAUCACAGUUCGGAUCGGAGUCUGCAACUCGACUCCGUGAAGCUGGAAUCGCUAGUAAUCGGAUAUCAGCCAUGAUCCGGUGAAUACGUUCCCGGGCCUUGUACACACCGCCCGUCAAGCCAUGGAAGUUGGAAGUGCCUGAAGUCCGUCACCGUAAGGAGCGGCCUAGGGUAAAGUCGAUAACUAGGGCUAAGUCGUAACAAGGUAA
rnacentral:rRNA from 1 species